AAAGUACUCCCUCCGUCCCAAAAUUCUUGUCUUAGAUUUGUCUAGAUACAGAUGUAUCUAAUAAUUGAUACAACUGUAUCUAGACAAAUCUAAGACAAGAAGUUUGGGACAAAGGGAGUAGUUG
rfam:Triticum urartu cultivar G1812 contig458760, whole genome shotgun sequence.